rnacentral:rRNA from 1 species
UAGCAUAUCAAUAAGCGGAGGAAAAGAAACCAACAGGGAUUGCCUCAGUAACGGCGAGUGAAGCGGCAAUAGCUCAAAUUUGAAAGCUGGCGUCUUCGACGUCCGCGUUGUAAUUUGUAGAGGAUGCUUCGGCGAGGACUCCUGCCUAAGUCCCCUGGAACGGGGCGUCACAGAGGGUGAGAAUCCCGUAUGUGGCGGGCGGUCCGAGCCAUGUGAAGCUCCUUCGACGAGUCGAGUUGUUUGGGAAUGCAGCUCUAAAUGGGAGGUAAAUUUCUUCUAAAGCUAAAUAUUGGCCAGAGACCGAUAGCGCACAAGUAGAGUGAUCGAAAGAUGAAAAGCACUUUGGAAAGAGAGUUAAAAAGUACGUGAAAUUGUUGAAAGGGAAGCGCUUGCAACCAGACUCGCUCGCAGUUGCUCAGCCGGCCUCUUGGCCGGUGUACUCUUCUGCGAUCGGGCCAGCAUCAGUUCGGGCGGCCGGAUAAAGGUGUCGGGAAUGUAGCACCCUUCGGGGUGUGUUAUAGCCCGGCGCGGAAUGCGGCCAGCCUGGACUGAGGAUCUCGCUUCGGCAAGGAUGCUGGCGUAAUGGUUGUAAGCGGCCCGUCUUGAAACACGGACCAAGGAGUCUAACAUCUAUGCGAGUGUUUGGGUGUCAAACCCAUGCGCGUAAUGAAAGUGAACGGAGGUGGGAACCCCUCACGGGGUGCACCAUCGACCGAUCCUGAUGUCUUCGGAUGGAUUUGAGUAAGAGCAUAGCUGUUGGGACCCGAAAGAUGGUGAACUAUGCCUGAAUAGGGUGAAGCCAGAGGAAACUCUGGUGGAGGCUCGCAGCGGUUCUGACGUGCAAAUCGAUCGUCAAAUUUGGGUAUAGGGGCGAAAGACUAAUCGAACCAUCUAGUAGCUGGUUCCUGCG